GAAUAAAGGUGAUUAUUUUAUGUGUUCCAUUUACUGUGGACUGUAAUGUACCUGUUAUGAUUUUUUCUUUUUACAUCUUAAACCUUAGUAAUUAUUACUAAUUAUUAUUAAUUUCGUCCUGAAAUUGAUGUAGUUUAAGAGAUUAAACCAUCACGAGUAGAUUUUAAAAUGGAAGUUUAUUCAAAAGCCCCGACCGAUUACAAAAUUGAAAAUGUCAACAUUUCAUCAAGUGAAGGACCAAAAAUAGAAAAACACAUAAUUAUUGAUUUGUUAACUGAAAACAACACUAGUAAAAGUAUCAGAAUGUCGGUGUUGCAACUCAACAAUUUAAGACACAAUGUUGCUAAUUUAUUGAAGCAUACCAAUCGCCUUAAGACAAAACUUCAACAAAAUUAACUUUUAAAAUAAAUUAAGUGUAAAAAAAAAAUUACAAUAAAAAUAAUAGUUAACAAUGUGGUAUUUGUAUAAAAUGUAAGGCUGGAAUGUUUGUUUGGUACUUAACAUAAUAUGCAAUUAUUGUAAUUAUUAUUCUAAUGUAAAUUUAGUUUUUAUACAAUUAUUAAAUAUACUCAGUGCACAUGUACAAAUUAUUUUUCUAUAUAAUAUAUUAAGUACUUAUUGUGGAAAUAAUA